rnacentral:rRNA from 1 species
CCUACGGGAGGCAGCAGUGAGGAAUAUUGGUCAAUGGACGAGAGUCUGAACCAGCCAAGUAGCGUGAAGGAUGACUGCCCUAUGGGUUGUAAACUUCUUUUAUAUGGGAAUAAAAUGUUCCACGUGUGGGAUUUUGUAUGUACCAUAUGAAUAAGGAUCGGCUAACUCCGUGCCAGCAGCCGCGGUAAUACGGAGGGUCCGAGCGUUAUCCGGAUUUAUUGGGUUUAAAGGGAGCGUAGGUGGAAUGUUAAGUCAGUUGUGAAAGUUUGCGGCUCAACCGUAAAAUUGCAGUUGAAACUGGCAGUCUUGAGUACAGUAGAGGUGGGCGGAAUUCGUGGUGUAGCGGUGAAAUGCUUAGAUAUCACGAAGAACUCCGAUGGCGAAGGCAGUUCACUGGACUGCAACUGACACUGAGGCUCGAAAGUGUGGGUAUCAAACAGGAUUAGAUACCCCUGUAGUC